UACGUAGGGUGCAAGCGUUAAUCGGAAUUACUGGGCGUAAAGCGUGCGCAGGCGGUUCUUUAAGAAAGAUGUGAAAUCCCCGGGCUUAACCUGGGAACUGCAUUGGUGACUGGCAGGCUUUGAGUGUGGCAGAGGGAGGUAGAAUUCCACGUGUAGCAGUGAAAUGCGUAGAGAUGUGGAGGAAUACCGAUGGCGAAGGCAGCCUCCUGGGCCAACACUGACGCUCAUGCACGAAAGCGUGGGGAGCAAACAGG
rnacentral:rRNA from 1 species